rnacentral:rRNA from 1 species
UAAAUUACACCCACUAUCCGCCCGGGUACUACGAGCAUCAGCUUAAAACCCAAAGGACUUGGCGGUGCUUUAGAUCCACCUAGAGGAGCCUGUUCUAGAACCGAUAACCCCCGUUUAACCUCACCUUUCCUUGUUUACCCCGCCUAUAUACCACCGUCGUCAGCUUACCCUGUGAAGGCCCAACAGUAAGCAGAAUUGGCACGCCCCAAAACGUCAGGUCGAGGUGUAGCGCAUGGAAGGGGAAGAAAUGGGCUACAUUCACUACACCAGUGAACACGGAUAGUGCAUUGAAACAUGCACUUGAAGGAGGAUUUAGCAGUAAGUAGAAAGCAGAGUGUUCCACUGAAAAUGGCCCUGAAGCGCGCACACACCGCCCGUCACUCUCCCCGAGCCCCCCCCAAACCCCAUUAACUAAAAUCAGCACUCGCAAAUAGGGGAGGCAAGUCGUAA